CAAAUACUCCCUCCGUCCGGAAAUACUUGUCAUCAAAAUGGAUAAAAGGAAAUGUAUCUAGACAUAUUUUAGUUUUAGAUACAUCUCUUUUUAUCCAUUUUGAUGACAAGUAUUUUCAGACGGAGGGAGUAGAAA
rnacentral:pre_miRNA from 1 species